rnacentral:rRNA from 1 species
UACGUAGGGUGCAGGCGUUAAUCGGAAUUACUGGGCGUAAAGCGUGCGCAGGCGGUUUGCUAAGUCAGAUGUGAAAGCCCCGGGCUCAACCUGGGAAUUGCAUUUGAGACUGCGUAGCUAGGGUGCGGAAGAGGGAAGCGGAAUUUCCGGUGUAGCGGUGAAAUGCGUAGAUAUCGGAAGGAACACCAGUGGCGAAAGCGGCUUCCUGGUCCAGCACCGACGUUCAGGCACGAAAGCGUGGGGAGCAAACAGG